UUGCAAUUGUCAUCUUUUUCUUCAAUCACCUUUUCCAUCUAGUAACCCAUCACAUUUCCUCUUUCAUUUCCUAGAUUGCAUUUGUCAUCCGACGAUAUAACCUCCUGAUUUCCCUUCUAGAUUAAAUCCCUAGUUUUCCAUCCUCAAACGGGAAGAAAAUUAGUUAAAUCUGAAAGUAACUCAAAACGAAAUCGAAAAAGCUUCUUGAUCUGCGGGCGAGGCCAUACUACGGCGAUAAGGAAAAGUGGCGAGAAGCUCUCUU
rnacentral:lncRNA from 1 species